rnacentral:tRNA from 1 species
UAUAACUUAGUUUAGAAAGAAUUUUUAUUUUUGGUAUAAAAGGAUUUAGUUAUAG